rnacentral:rRNA from 1 species
CUUGGUUGAACCUGCCAGUAGCAUAUGCGUGUCUCAAAGAUUAAGCCAUGCAUGUGUUAAGUACAAACGGCCGGUACAGUGAAACUGCAAAUGGCUCAUUAAAUCAGUUCUGGUUCCUUUGAUCGCUCCAUCUCUUACUUGGAUAACUGUGGUAAUUCUAGAGCUAAUGCAUGCCGACGAGCGCGGACCUGCCAGGAUGCGUGCAUUUAUCAGACCAACACCAAUCCAGGCUCGCCGGGCCGCUUUUGGUGACACUAGAUAACCUCAGGCCGAUCGCAUGUCCGCGUGACGGCGACGAUGCAUUCGGAUGUCUGCCCGUCUGCAAUAUCAACUUUCAAUGGUACUUUCUGUGCCUACCAUGGUGACCACGACGGGUAAUGGGGAAUCGGGGUUUGAUUCCGGAGAGGGAGACUGAGAAACGGCUACCACAUCAAGGAAGGCAGCAGGCGCCCAAAUUACCCCCUCCUGACUCAGGGAGGUAGUGAUCAAAAAUAACAAUACAGGACUCUUUCGAGGCACUGGAAUUGGAAUGAGUACACUUUAAAUCCUUUAACGAGUACCCAUUGGAGGGCAAGUCUGGUGCCAGCAGCCGCGGUAAUUCCAGCUCCAAUAGCAUAUAUUAAAGUUACUGCAGUUAAAAAGCUCGUAGUUGGAUCUUGGGAUCGAGCUGGCGAUCCGCCGCGAGGCGAGCUACCGCCUGUCCCAGCCCCUGCCUCUUGGCGCCCCUUUGAUUCUCUUGACUGAGUGUCAUGGGGGUCUGAAGCGUUUACUUUGAAAAAAGUAGUGUUCAAAGCAGGCCAGUCGCCUGAAUAAUUCAGCUAGGAGUAAUGGAAUAGGACUCCGGUUCUAUUUUGUUGUUGUUUGGAACUGGGCCAUCAAUAAGAGGGACAACCGGGGCAUUUGUAUUGUGCCGCUAGAGGUGAAAUUCUUGGACUGGUGCAAGACGAACUAAAGUGAAAGCAUUAGCCAAUAAUGUUUUCAUGAAUCAAGAACGAAUGUCUGAGGUUUGAAGAUGAUCUGAUACCGUCGUAGUUCCGACUGUAAACGAUGCCGAUUAGCGAUCUGGCAGUGUUAUUCCCAUUACCCGCCGAGCAGCUUCCAGGAAACCAAAGUCUUUGGGUUACAGGGGGAGUAUGGUUGCAAAGCUGAAAGUUAAAGGAAUUGACCGAAGGGCACCACCAGGAGUGGAGCCUGCGCCUUAAUUUGACUCCACACAGGAAACCUCACCCGGUCCAGACACGGAAAAGAUUGACAGAUUGAUAGCGCUUUCUCGAUUCUGUGGGUGGUGGUGCAUUACCGUUCUUAGUUGGUGGAGCGUCUGGUUAAAUCCGAUAACAAACUAACUCCUGCAAGCUAACUAAUUAUUUACCAUGAACGUGGAAUUCUCAUCAAGUGCGGGUCAUAAGCUUGCGUUGAUUAAGUCCCUGCCCUUUGUAUACACAGCCCAUCGCUACUACCGAUAGGAUGGUUUAGUGAGGUCCUCGGAUCGGUCCCGCCGGGGUCAGCAAGGUCCCUGGCGGAGUGGCGAGAAGACGAUUAAACUUGAUUAUCUAGAGGAAGUAAAAGUCAUACGGGUUGGGUUAACCUGCUGGGGACAUCCCA